UCAAAAAGUUUAAAGCAGCAUUAGAAAAGCCAGUCGGGAGGGGACGCCAUGGUGGUCCCCCCAACUCCACACAGGGAUGAGCUCGGCUGCUGUGGUUGUGGCCAAGAAGCGGUCGGCACCAUCCGCUCGCCCACCCGGAAUCCUUCCCGCUUUCCAACCCGAAAGUUUGCUGUAUGGACGUCCGGCCUAAAAGACAAUGCUGGCUGGGGCGAGCCCCUCCUCUCGGGGGCUCGGCUUUGGAGAACGGCUCGGCGGCGUGGCGUCCACGCGCGCGUCCCCUCGGAAGACGCGUCCCGCUUCGGGGCAGCCGAGUCCCACGCGGGACUCGUCCCCCUUCGCCCGCCGCCGCAGUCCCUACCUCAGCGCCCGCAGCCCGCGCCGCCUCCCAGCCUCCGCCUCGGCCGCACGCACGCACGCACUCACGCACGCACACACCCGCCCACCGCGGGCCCGCUUCCCGCCCCCCGCCGCCGUCGCGGCGCGCACGCCCAACACGGACCUGCCAAGGGGGUCGAACCCGAGGCGGCCGUGGUGGUGGCGUUGGCGACACAGCCCCGGCCCCGCCCUCCACUUCCUGGUGCGGCGGCUAGGACGCUCGCUCCCAGCAACCACCGCGACGCCGCUCCGAAAAGGCGCCUGCGUCACGGCGUGCUCCGCCCCGAGUUUCCAUGACGACCGGAGCGCGCUCAAAGGCUGCCGGUCCAAAGGAGAGUCCAAUUCUUCAAACUUCAAAUGACAGUCCGAAGAUCCACUAGUUAACUUAAUCUGGACUAUACGAGGAGUUCUAACAACUGACAAAAGACGGCGGCAUUCCUCCGGAACUUGUGAAGCUCUAGUUUCUGUCUAGGAAAAUGACUCAUUUCCCUUUCCUCCAGCAAAAGUGACUUAUGGCUCUCCAAUUAACAUGUCAGCACAAGGUGCAAGCCCGGCAGCCUCCAGACUCCCUCAGUCCCUACAAGCACUUAUACAUUUCAAAGCCUGCUCACCAGUCCCCUGGCCCUUCCCACCCGCCCACCGAUUACUCAUUCUUCUUGUUCACUCUUCUCCGCUCCUGCUGCUGCUUUUCUCAAUAAGCUUCCCCUAUUUUCUAUCAGUGGCCAUUUUCCCGUUUCUUGUAGACAGUCCUGGCAAAGCCCAGUCUGCUACACAUGGUCAAUCUACUACUUUCUCUCUCUGCCCUGGACUCUCCAGAUCCCUGUGGCUGUUCUCACUCUCAUGUCUCCAAUAAAAACCUUAGCCAUAA